rnacentral:tRNA from 1 species
GUAGGUAUAGCUAAGUGGUAGAGUGCAUGCUUAGCAUGCAUGAGGUCCUGGGUUCAAUCCCCAGUACUUCUA